GCUGAGGGUCCCUCUCCGCCCUCUACCCUCGCCAGCUCCCGCGCGCUCUUCGACUGCCCUCCACGUCCUGCCCCGCGCUGGGGCUCCAACCUGUGCCCCGCCCAUGGGCUCCCCGAGGCCAGCCCGGCACAAGUGAGUGCUUGGCGGGAGUCGAGGAAGGGGACGCGGGGCGGGGCUCCCUCCGGGACCCAGCGUGCUCAGUGCCUCCGUUUACACCCAUUCCCUGGCAGCGGUCGCGAUGGCGGCUGACGUCGAGGGCCAAGUGGACGUGCUGGUGGAGCACCCCUUCGAGUACACCGGCCGGGACGGACGCCACGUCGUCAUCCGGCCCAACGAGCGCUACCGCCUGCUGCGCCGCAGCACACCGCACUGGUGGCACGUGCGGCGCGAAC
rnacentral:lncRNA from 1 species